UGGUGGUUUUAAAGAAAGGACUAUCUCCCUU
rnacentral:piRNA from 1 species